rnacentral:rRNA from 1 species
GACAGAGGGUGCGAACGUUGUUCGGAAUUACUGGGCGUAAGGCGCGUGUAGGCUGUUCGGAAAGUCGGGUGUGAAAGCCCUGGGCUCAACCUAGGAAGUGCACUCGAAACUCCCGAACUGGAGUCCCGGAGAGGAAGGUGGAAUUCUCGGUGUAGAGGUGAAAUUCGUAGAUAUCGAGAGGAACAUCGGUGGCGAAGGCGGCCUUCUGGACGGUGACUGACGCUGAGACGCGAAAGCGUGGGGAGCAAACAGG